AGUGAACGCUGGCGGUAGGCCUAACACAUGCAAGUCGAACGGCAGCACAGUAAGAGCUUGCUCUUACGGGUGGCGAGUGGCGGACGGGUGAGGAAUACAUCGGAAUCUACUUUUUCGUGGGGGAUAACGUAGGGAAACUUACGCUAAUACCGCAUACGACCUACGGGUGAAAGCAGGGGAUCUUCGGACCUUGCGCGAUUGAAUGAGCCGAUGUCGGAUUAGCUAGUUGGCGGGGUAAAGGCCCACCAAGGCGACGAUCCGUAGCUGGUCUGAGAGGAUGAUCAGCCACACUGGAACUGAGACACGGUCCAGACUCCUACGGGAGGCAGCAGCGGGGAAUAUUGGACAAUGGGCGCAAGCCUGAUCCAGCCAUACCGCGUGGGUGAAGAAGGCCUUCGGGUUGUAAAGCCCUUUUGUUGGGAAGGAAAAGCAGCAGGUUAAUACCCCGCUGUUCUGACGGUACCCAAAGAAUAAGCACCGGCUAACUUCGUG
rnacentral:rRNA from 1 species